AACGAACGCUGGCGGCAGGCCUAACACAUGCAAGUCGAGCGGACACCUUCGGAUGUUUGCGGCGGACGGGUGCGUAACGCGUGGGAACGUGCCCUUUGCUUCGGAAUAGCCUCGGGAAACUGGGAGUAAUACCGGAUGUACCCUUUGGGGGAAAGAUUUAUCGGCAAAGGAUCGGCCCGCGUUGGAUUCGGUAGUUGGUGGGGUAAUGGCCUACCAAGCCGACGAUCCAUAGCUGGUUUGAGAGGAUGAUCAGCCACACUGGGACUGAGACACGGCCCAGACUCCUACGGGAGGCAGCAGUGGGGAAUCUUAGAAAAUGGGGGAAACCCUGAACUAGCCAUGCCGCGUGAGCGAUGAAGGCCUUAGGGUUGUAAAGCUCUUUCACCGGGGAAGAUAAUGACGGUACCCGGAGAAGAAGCCCCGGCUAACUCCGUG
rnacentral:rRNA from 1 species